rnacentral:rRNA from 1 species
GACGAACGCUGGCGGCGUGCUUAACACAUGCAAGUCGAACGGAGAUUAUUAAUGAAGCUUGCGAUUUAAUAAUCUUAGUGGCGGACGGGUGAGUAACGCGUGGGCAACCUACCCAUAAGCGGGGGAUAACAGUUGGAAACGACUGCUAAUACCGCAUAAGCUAUUGAGGUCGCAUGACCUAAAUAGUAAAGGUGGCGAAAGCUAUCACUUAUGGAUGGGCCCGCGUCUGAUUAGCUAGUUGGUGGGAUAGCAGCCUACCAAGGCAACGAUCAGUAGCCGGCCUGAGAGGGUGGACGGCCACACUGGGACUGAGACACGGCCCAGACUCCUACGGGAGGCAGCAGUGGGGAAUAUUGGGCAAUGGGGGAGACCCUGACCCAGCGACGCCGCGUGAGGGAAGACGGCCUUCGGGUUGUAACCUCUUUUGUACGGGAAGAUAAUGACGGUACUGUACGAAUAAGUCCCGGCUAACUACGUGCCAGCAGCCGCGGUAAUCUCGUCCUA